rnacentral:rRNA from 1 species
UACGUAGGGCGCAAGCGUUAUCCGGAAUUAUUGGGCGUAAAGAGCUUGUAGGCGGUUUGUCGCGUCUGCUGUGAAAUUUCGGGGCUCAACCCCGAACUUGCAGUGGGUACGGGCAGACUAGAGUGUGGUAGGGGAGACUGGAAUUCCUGGUGUAGCGGUGAAAUGCGCAGAUAUCAGGAGGAACACCGAUCGCGAAGGCAGGUCUCUGGGCCACUACUGACGCUGAGAAGCGAAAGCAUGGGGAGCGAACAGG